ACUUCGAAGCAAAUGGUCGCCUGUUUCUUCGGGAGAAUGGGUCAUGUGGCCACUGUUCCGCUAGAGAAACGUAGGACUGUCAAUUCUGAGUGGUACACGACCAUUUGUUUGCCGGAGGUCUUCGGAGACAUUCGCAAAACCAACUGCCGAGCACGAAUCAUUCUCCAUCAUGACAAUGCGAGCUCGCACACAUCUCGACAAACAGUCCUGACUUGGCACCCAAUGACUUCUUUUUAUUCCCUAACAUC